AAAUUGAAGAGUUUGAUCAUGGCUCAGAUUGAACGCUGGCGGCAGGCCUAACACAUGCAAGUCGAACGGUAACAGGAAGAAGCUUGCUUCUUUGCUGACGAGUGGCGGACGGGUGAGUAAUGUCUGGGAAACUGCCUGAUGGAGGGGGAUAACUACUGGAAACGGUAGCUAAUACCGCAUAACGUCGCAAGACCAAAGAGGGGGACCUUCGGGCCUCUUGCCAUCGGAUGUGCCCAGAUGGGAUUAGCUAGUAGGUGGGGUAAGGGCUCACCUAGGCGACGAUCCCUAGCUGGUCUGAGAGGAUGACCAGCCACACUGGAACUGAGACACGGUCCAGACUCCUACGGGAGGCAGCAGUGGGGAAUAUUGCACAAUGGGCGCAAGCCUGAUGCAGCCAUGCCGCGUGUAUGAAGAAGGCCUUCGGGUUGUAAAGUACUUUCAGCGGGGAGGAAGGGAGU
rnacentral:rRNA from 1 species